rnacentral:lncRNA from 10 species
UCUUAGCAGACCAAUGACUGCCCAGUGGAGGCCUCAGAGUGAAUUCUGGAGUAUCCUGUCCUGAGAGCCAGACAAUCCGAGUCCAGGACUCAAUGUUCAUGUCUCAGGUUUUACCAAGUUGUCAGGCAUCACCGUUUCUUCUUAUGACUCUGAAACAUUUAUUUUGGUCUUAAAAAGAAAGUUUCCUGGAGUUAACAGAACGCAUAUUGUUUGUAGUGCAUCAUCUUCUAUUCCUGCAAGACUAACCUGGCUAAUUACCCUGCCCCUUUGGUGGUUCUGAUGAAAACAACUAAAACUUAAAUCUUGAAAGAAGCUUCAGAGUAGUGAGAAUCAUGGAGGUGGUUGGAGGGUGGGGAUGGAGCAAAGCUCAUCCUGUGAUGGGUAUUGUCGCCCCUGGACAAAGAGCGAAAGGACAGUGGGUCCCCUUCUAUGUCUGGGCCACGACCAUCGUGGCCUCCUCCUUUUCACACUGAGUCUCUCACUUCUAAUUCCUCCCAUUUCUCCUCUCUCCCACAGCCCCACAUCCUUUGUCCCAUAGAAUCUGCAAAAAGGAAGAGAAGACUGUAUUCCUCAAAAUAUCAAGGACGAGGAUACUGUCUGACUUGGGAAUAAACCAAUGGCAUAUACGAAGGUGCUUAACAUCACUAAUCACUGGGGAAAUGCAAGUCAAAACCAUAAUGACAUAGCUCCUCACACCUGUUAAAAUGACUAUUAUCAGAAAGUCAAAUGAUAAGUGUUCAUUGAGGGUGUGGAGAAAAUGGAACUCUUGUACACUGUUGGUGGGAUUGUAAAUUGGUGUGGCCAUUAUGAAAAACAAUGUGGAGGUUGCCCAUAAAACUAAAAAUAGAAUUCCCAUAUGAUCAGCA